UACGUAGGGUGCAAGCGUUGUCCGGAAUUAUUGGGCGUAAAGAGCUCGUAGGCGGUCUGUCGCGUCGGAUGUGAAAAUCCAGGGCUUAACCCUGGACCUGCAUUCGAUACGGGCAGACUAGAGUUCGGUAGGGGAGACUGGAAUUCCUGGUGUAGCGGUGAAAUGCGCAGAUAUCAGGAGGAACACCGGUGGCGAAGGCGGGUCUCUGGACAGUUCCUGACACUGAGACACGAAGGCCAGGGGAGCAAACGGG
rnacentral:rRNA from 1 species